GCCACGAGAAAAAGGUUUCAAUACCUUCCAGUGCAGAAGCAACAUAGAAAAUGCUUUGACAUUUUUAAAGAGCAGAUCACUCAAGCUCAUAAAUAUUCAUGUUGCUGACAUUAUUGAAGGAAAACCUUCCAUUGUGCUUGGCCUAAUUUGGACAAUUAUAUUUCAUUUUCAUAUUGAAGAACUUGCCAGGACACUUGCUUGUACUUACAAUUAGCCUUCACUUGAUUGUUCAAGUGCUGUUGACUCCUCUCCAAAGGCAAGCCGAUCAGCUAAAAAAAGUGCUAAAAUUAAGGAACGGUGGAAGCUAUCUGCUACAAAGGCUCUUUUGUUGUGGGCAAAAGAACAGUGUUCACUGCAUGGCUCUAUCAAUGUGACUGAUUUCAAGUCAAGCUGGCGAAGCGGGCUGCCUUUUUUAGCCAUCAUCAAAACCUUACGACCAGGUCUGGUUGAUUUGGAGAAGGCAAAAUCUAGAAGCAAUAAAGAAAACCUGAAAGAGGCUUUCAGAAUUGCAGAACUGGAGCUGAAUAUUCCACGGCUUCUUGAAC